CUUGUGAAGCUGUGAUUCUAAUUCCUUAAUUAAUGGAAUUUAAUUCAGUAUAAAUAGACUCUGAUCCAUACUACUGGCUAAAUUGUACUCACUCCAACAAUCAAUUACUAAAUUUACACAUAUAUAAUGGCAUCAUUGAAGGCCGAAAAACCUGUUGGAUCUCAACAGGCCAAGAAUGAGCCUGCCAAGACUACGACUAGCACGGCUGCGAAAGCUACGGCCUCCAAGCCCGCCCCCAAGAAGGCUGCCCCAAAGACUCAGGAACCCAAGAAGAAGGUAGUAGUAAUACAUACAUAUAUACUCAUAUGUGUACUGUGUACUGUGUGCUGUGUGCUGUGUGCUGUGUGUGCAUGUUUUUUUUAAUACUCCAACUGACGAAAUUUUUAUUAAAACCUACCAACCGUAAUACAAAUUGUGGCGAAUCCAAAAGGUUUAGAUUAUAUUCUAACCAAAUCCAUGAACAGAAAUGGAGCAAUACGUACGUAUAAAUCAAAAACAAUUUCCUUAGUAAUUUGGUUGGUGUCUUGUUGGUUUUAAAACACUUUGAAUUGAUUUUUUAUAGGCUACCAAGGGUGGGAAAUCAGCAGCAGCAGCAGCAGCAAAGCAGUAACAGUACCAUUGAUCGACGGACAUGAAUGCACGACUCUCUGAGAGAGGAAGAUGAUAUUUAUAUAUAUGGUUAUAUGCUUUAAUUAUUCUGUUUUCAUUUUAUCAGUGUGACAUGUAAGUUGGUAUGUCCUUGUAAGUUAGCUUGCUUGGCUUACUUAGCCUGAUGAAAUAAAUAAAUUUACAUAUUUGCAUCAUGAAUCUGGUAUCAUUAAUUUUUCUACACAACUACGAUAAACCUCAGUUAUGUCGUUUGUUCAAUCAAACAUUAACUGCUAAUGAGUAAAUUAACAAUAGCUAAAUAUUUGGUCAGACAUGUAAGCUGGCUA
rnacentral:lncRNA from 1 species